GUUUCCAGCCAGUGUCUCGCCGGAACAAGUGGCCUUCCCUGGAGUUCUGUUCCCACCAGCUGGUCUCGGCUCUUCCCUAUCAUUUCCCCUUCUCCCCUCCACUGGUUCCAAUUUCGCCCACGGUGUGCGUCCCAAAACGCUGAACCGGCUCCUAAAAUGAGUACUCGUGGUUUCCGCGUGGGAACCCACCUCUGGGGCCUCUGGCCCGCCCUCCGCUGGCUUAGGUGGCUGCUGGGGCUGGGGCUGCUCCUGGGGCUUCAGGCCGCCCUCUGCGUGGCUUUCUAUCUCCCGGGGUUGGCUCCCGUCAACUUCUGCGAGGCGGACCAAGAGACUGCCACCUGCAAGUCUCUGCAAACAGCAAGUUAAUUUGUACCUCUCAGACUUGCGAGAAUAAAAUGAGACAACGUAUGACAAGCACUGACAAAAACACUUGGCACAUGUCAUCUGUAGCACUAUUUGUAAAUAGUCUGGACUCAGUGGAACCUGCUGUCUUAUGAAUAUAAUAUUUUUAACAAGACAGAAACAUGUUCAAAAGUUUGUGUAAAAUUUUAUGAUAUAGCAAGUGAAGAUCGAAAGAAAAGGCUGGAUUUUUUGAAGAAAGGAACACAGCUGAAUUAUCAACGUCACUGGGUUAACAGGAGCAUCUUCAAAGGCUGCCUUGGGAA
rnacentral:lncRNA from 1 species